CAAGGUUCAAGAACGGAUCU
rnacentral:snRNA from 1 species